rnacentral:tRNA from 1 species
UGGAGUUGCGGGGAAUCGAACCCCGGACCUCUCCCAUGCUAAGAGAAUAUUAUACCACUAAACCACAACCCC